UCGAGAAUCAUUCGCAAUGGGCGCAAGCCUGACGAUGCGACGCCGUGUGAGCGAAGAAGGCCUUCGGGUCGUAAAGCUCUUUCGCCUGGGAACAAAAGAAGCUAGUUAAUACCUAGUGGAUGUGAGCGUACCGGGUAAAGAAGCACCGGCUAACUACGUGCCAGCAGCUGCGGUAAUACGUAGGGUGCAAGCAUUAAUCGGAUUUAUUGGGCGUAAAGGGCGCGUAGGCGGCCCUUCAAGUCAGGUGUGAAAUUCCGGGGCUCAACCUCGGAGCGGCACUUGAAACUAAAGGACUAGAGGAUAGGCGGAGAAAACGGAAUUCCACAAGUAGCGGUGAAAUGCGUAGAUAUGUGGAAGAACACCGGUGGCGAAGGCGGUUUUCUAGCUUAUUCCUGACGCUGAGGCGCGAAAGCAAGGGGAUCAAACAG
rnacentral:rRNA from 1 species